rnacentral:rRNA from 1 species
CCUACGGGAGGCAGCAGUGGGGAAUAUUGCACAAUGGGGGAAACCCUGAUGCAGCGACGCCGCGUGAGUGAAGAAGUAAUUCGUUAUGUAAAGCUCUAUCAGCAGGGAAGAAAAUGGCGGUACCUGAGUAAGAAGCCCCGGCUAACUACGUGCCAGCAGCCGCGGUAAUACGUAGGGGGCAAGCGUUAUCCGGAUUUACUGGGUGGAAAGGGAGCGUAGACGGCAGUGCAAGUCUGGAGUGAAAGGCGGGGGCUCAACCCCCGGACUGCUCUGGAAACUGUACGGCUGGAGUGCAGGAGAGGUAAGUGGAAUUCCUAGUGUAGCGGUGAAAUGCGUAGAUAUUAGGAGGAACACCAGUGGCGAAGGCGGCUUACUGGACUGUAACUGACGUUGAGGCUCGAAAGCGUGGGGAGCAAACAGGAUUAGAUACCACUGUAGUC